rnacentral:rRNA from 1 species
UACGGAGGGGGCUAGCGUUGUUCGGAAUUAUUGGGCGUAAAGCGCUUGUAGGCGGCCUGUCAAGUCGCGUGUGAAAUCCCCUGGCUUAACCAGGGAAGUGCGCGCGAAACUGAAGGGCUUGAGUGCCGGAGAGGGUCGCGGAAUUCCCGGUGUAGAGGUGAAAUUCGUAGAUAUCGGGAGGAACACCAGUGGCGAAGGCGGCGACCUGGACGGACACUGACGCUGAAGUGCGAAAGCUAGGGGAGCGAACGGG